ACCGUGAACUGUGGCCUCGGCCAUUUACACAAACUGUUAGUAAUGAAUGUAACAUCAUAACAAACAUAAAACUUUUAACAACGGAUCUCUUGGCUCUCGCAUCGAUGAAGAACGCAGCGAAAUGCGAUAAGUAAUGUGAAUUGCAGAAUUCAGUGAAUCAUCGAAUCUUUGAACGCACCUUGCGCCCUUUGGUAUUCCGAAGGGCAUGCCUGUUUGAGUGUCAUGAAACCUCACCCCACCUGGGUUUUUGCCCGGAUGGCGGUGGAUUGGGUGUUGCCUUUACCGGCUCGCCUCAAAAGCAUAAGCGCCUUGGAUGUAAUACGUUUCAUCCUCUUGGGUGGCUUACAACCCCACAUAUCUCAUGAUCUGGCCUCAAAUCAGGUAGGGCUACCCGCUGAACUUAAGCAUAUCAAUAAGCGGAGGA
rnacentral:rRNA from 2 species